GCAAACUUGGUCAUUUAGAGGAAGUAAAAGUCGUAACAAGGUUUCCGUAGGUGAACCUGCGGAAGGAUCAUUACCAAAAUGGUGGUCGUUCGGGGUAGGCGUCCCUCGGGGUGUCCGACCCAGUCCGUCCUAAUACCUUCAACCCUUGAACACUUAGCCCUGUUGCCUCGGCGGGUCCGCCCGCCAGAGGACGCAAACUAAACUACUGUUGUCAACGGUGUAGUCUGAGCUAUACAAAGCAAUUGUUUAAAACUUUCAACAACGGAUCUCUUGGUUCUGGCAUCGAUGAAGAACGCAGC
rnacentral:misc_RNA from 1 species